rnacentral:tRNA from 1 species
GCGCCCGUAGCUCAGCGGAUAGAGCAAGUGAAUUCUAAUCACUUGGUCGGGGGUUCGAUUCCCUCCGGGCGCACUA